rnacentral:tRNA from 3 species
CGGGGCGUAGCUCAGCCUGGUAGAGCGGCCGGCUGUAGACCGGCAGGCCGGGGGUUCGAGUCCCCCCGCCCCGA